UGACAUAGUUGAUAAAGUGCCGUGACUAGGUACCUUACAUUUGUAUGUAUGACAGGAAACAUCCAGUGUUGCGUUCAUUCCUUUACAUCUUUUUUGACUUCCGGACGGGUUGUCUUUAGCCUUCUGUAAUUCUUACGUUAUCAUGAAGCGGGAAAGCAUAUGCAUGUUUUGCCUCCUGGUUGUGUUGAUGGCCUUUCUUGUGACAGGCGUUGACAGCCGUCGAAGAGGUGGUGGAGGUGGCGCACGCUUUACUUCUCGUUAUAGAGGAUCAGGAGGAUCAAAUGGAUCGGCUGGUCCUAAUUUCGGUAGUGUACUCGGGAUUACCAUCAUUGGAAUCAUUGGAGUCGGGAUAACAUUUGUGAUGCGUUAUGUGCCGCUUGGAGUUCGAAUAACGUACACCUAAAGACCUACUUUAACAAAACAUGUGCAAAGCAGCACAACAUCCUCUAGGACCCCGAACGAUAUCCAUCACCUUUCAAAAUACCUUUUUUUUCUUUCUACAAAAAGCAGACGAUAUUAGUUUAGAAAACACAACUCGAAAAUAAGACGCGGCCUAAUAGCAAGCAGAUACAUGUUUAAUUUAAGGAAAGUUUUAUCAGUUUAUAAACGGUCCGCUAUAGCUUUUGUUGUGCAAUAUGAUGAAAUAUGACAAAUCCAGACCUCUUACAGUCUGUUAAUUAUCUAUUACUUCAUACAGACUAUUGAUAAAGGUAUCAUCUUCACUCAUUUGUAUAAUAGAGUAGGAAUACAAAGAACUAACAAUAGACAUAUGAUAUGUUUUCUAAUCAGACAUUCUGAAAACUAUCGGAACACUACAUCAGCUGAAAAUUAUUCUAUAUUUUUUUUUUUUUUUAAAGGCGUAUUUUCAAGUUGCCUUUCUCGUAUUUCCUCCUUGGACUCGUCAGUGAUUAUAAGGACAUCUUACAACUGUUUCGUCCUUCUAGGACUCGUUAUUGAUGGUAGCAGUCAAUAGUGUAAGAAUCAACAAGGAAAGUCAUGAGAGCCAAUAAAGAGAGCCUCAUCGCGGAACAAUAACCCUAUUGUUUGAUAUAGAAGGAAGUUUAAUUACCCAAUUGGUUUAACAAUUUCCUAAUCUAUGGGCAUUGGAAAAUUUUAAAAGAUAAACAAGACGUUUGCAUAUUCAGAGCCAGUGCCAAAUUUCAUCAGAAUUCAAAUGUUAGCUACGACUUCUAAAUAGUGUCUAUGCUACAUGCAUUUUGUCUUGAAAUGGUUCGUUCUUUCAUAUGUUUGAUCUCAAAUAACAUAAUUUUUAAUCUAAUUAUUAAACUCUGGAUUGCCCACAAUCUAUUUAAGGAUUAAACUGUCUUUUCUGGUGUCUAUGGUCGAUAUAGAUGCCAGAGCUUUGCAAACAAACGUCGCCUAUGAUUGUUUACGUUUGUUACAAGUACUUCCGGUUGGUGAAUAUUUUGGAUGUCAAUUAUGCUCACAUAGACUGCAAAUCUUUUUACUUAGUUUAUAUCGUGGCUUUGCCACCAAAAUGUAAAUAUCAUACACUAUCCUAUGUUUAGAGAAGCAUCGUAAGACUUUGUUUUGUUCCUGUAUGCAGUUUGUCUUUGAUUAAUAACUUGUUACCUAAUUCACGUCAUUCAUCGUUAAAAUUUAAAUUAAACAAAAUGAGACAAGCUUAUGUUUUAUGUAAAUCUAUGUUAAUGAACACGUUUGUUGGGAUGCCUUCAUGUACAAUAGGUAAUGUAUGGUUGGCGGAAUAAGAAGCUACUUCACGUGAAUCAUUUGCUAACGUAUCCACAUUGGACAGUAUUGGAUAGUUGGACAUUUAAGCAGUAACGAACCAUUCAUAAUUAAUGUACAUUUACAUAUAUCAACCAUACAGCUGUGUAUCUGAC